rnacentral:lncRNA from 1 species
AAAAGAAAAAAAAAACUUUAAUAUCAUCCUUUCUAUAGGAUGUCUUGUUAUCUUGGGAAAUGAAAGAAGACAAUUUCUUGCCUUCGGGCCAUGAAAACUUUCUUGGCUUGAAGCACUUUUGCAAAAACGUGAAGUUGAACUCUAUAAGAUGAAGAUUCUUGGGCUAAGAGGAUAGUUAUAUAAAUUAAUCUUUCCUGACCAUGGAAGUAAUGGAUAAUCAUCCUUAUCAAUUAGGUUCCAGGAAGGAGUCCCGAGCCCAUCUUGGCUAUUAUAGAGCAACAUGGCAACGAAUAUUGCACCAAAGGAGUUCACCUGUCCAAAUGGCUUUGUCUCCUAUCAGCUCAUUUGACUUUCUGCCCUUUUGGCUUGAAGAAAAUGCAAUUAGAAUCCCUUCUCUGGCCAAACAACAAAAUGAACAAAGUCCAGCCUUUGACCCUACCAACUCCAGGAGGAGUAUAGAGACUAUUGGUUUAAAUGAGCUGACCAGGGCCCGGAGCAAAGAUGUGUCCCUCUGCUGGAGAGUCAACCUGUUCAUUUCUGACUUACCCACCAUCCAGGCUGAGCAGGCAAAGUAA